rnacentral:lncRNA from 1 species
UUUGUUUAUAUGUGCCUCUGUCCUCCUGCUUUUCUGCACCCACUGCUUGUCAUGGCUCUGCUGGUCUCAGAGGAACUAAUUGGCCAUGGCAUUUCCUGCCUUAGUCAUCAGGCAUUUACUUCUUAGUUCUUCACAGCCUCCUGGCAGGAACUGGGAAGGUAAAUCUUCGAUUCUAAGCACCGCCCUGAGAACUCAUAGGUUAAAGUCUUGGAUACCAGCUGAUGAGACUCCCACUUCACCACUGGAUUCACCCAUUGGUGCUUUCAGAAUAUUUCCUUGUUGGCUCCAGAGUGAGGAGAAACACAGAUUAUAACCAGCAUAACUUGUUUGCAUACUGACUACAAAGAUGAAAACAGUGGUUUUCAAAACCCAUAGAGAUUUCAACUUAUGUAACUUCUGAAACUUGUAUUGCCUUGAGAGAUGCUGCCUCUCCAGGAUGGGAUAUAAGGGAAUGUCCAAGCAUUUCCAAAGAAGCAAAGCUUUCUGUGCAUGGUAUCUUUCAUUUUAAGGAUACAGGAGGAGUCUUGAGUUUUGAAGCAUUUAUUGGAUGGCUGCUCUGAAAUCUGCCAGGAAAUGGAAAUAAAGACAUAAAUCAAUGGUCUCCGCUCUACCCUUAAGCAUCUCUCAUUCUAAGAGGAAGAGACAUGGUUCUGUGUAAUUAUUAUACCGUGAAGUAAAAGUAGGAAAAUGUAGUGAGUGAAUAACCUGUUAGAAAUAUUGAUUUAUUUUUCCCAGUCUUUAAUUCUAAAUUCUUCCUUAGUCCUCUGUUUUCCAAUCUUUGCCAACCCUUCCCUUAUCCUAUUAACUAGCUUCUUUGGGGAUUCUGGGAUUCAAAGAUAAUGUAUUAUAAAGAAAAGGGAAAAAGGACCACUACUUUUGCAAAGGAUGGAAAAUAAAUACAACAAGGAAGGGUAGAACCUAGCCAGAAAAGGACUGUCUACAUCAAAGAGUAGAAGAAGGCAGUAGAUAGAGACAAAUGUUAGAACACAUUUUUAAAAAAUAAGAAAAAUACUAGCUCAGAGAAUAAGGCAUA